rnacentral:rRNA from 1 species
AUUCUGGGCGUAAGCGCGCGUAGGUGGCUAAGUCAGCCAGGUGUGAAAGCCCCGGGCUCAACCUGGGAACGGCAUCUGGAACUGCUUGGCUAGAGUGCAGGAGAGGAAGGUAGAAUUCCCGGUGUAGCGGUGAAAUGCGUAGAGAUCGGGAGGAAUACCAGUGGCGAAGGCGGCCUUCUGGACUGACACUGACACUGAGGUGCGAAAGCGUGGGUAGCAAACAGGAUUAGAUACCCUGGUAGUCCACGCCGUAAACGAUGUCAACUAGCCGUUGGGUCCCUUGAGGACUUAGUGGCGCAGCUAACGCAAUAAGUUGACCGCCUGGGGAGUACGGCCGCAAGGUUAAAACUCAAAUGAAUUGACGGGGGCCCGCACAAGCGGUGGAGCAUGUGGUUUAAUUCGAUGCAACGCGAAGAACCUUACCUACCCUUGACAUCCAGAGGACUUUCCAGAGAUGGAUUGGUGCCUUCGGGAACUCUGAGACAGGUGCUGCAUGGCUGUCGUCAGCUCGUGUUGUGAAAUGUUGGGUUAAGUCCCGUAACGAGCGCAACCCCUAUCCUUAUUUGCCAGCGAGUAAUGUCGGGAACUCUAAGGAGACUGCCGGUGACAAACCGGAGGAAGGUGGGGACGACGUCAAGUCAUCAUGGCCCUUACGGGUAGGGCUACACACGUGCUACAAUGGCAAGUACAAAGGGUUGCAAUACUGCGAAGUGGAGCCAAUCCCAUAAAGCUUGCCUCAGUCCGGAUUGGAGUCUGCAACUCGACUCCAUGAAGUCGGAAUCGCUAGUAAUCGUGGAUCAGAAUGCCACGGUGAAUACGUUCCCGGGCCUUGUACACACCGCCCGUCACACCAUGGGAGUGGACUGCACCAGAAGUGGUUAGCCUAA